GACAGAGGCCUCAAGCGUUAGGCGGAAUCACUGGGCUUAAAGCGUGUGUAGGCGGAUCGUUAAGUACCUUGUGAAAUCCCACGGCUCAACCGUGGAACUGCUGGGUAUACUGGCGAUCUUGAGCCACCUAGGGGCGAGCGGAACAAGCGGUGGAGCGGUGAAAUGCGUAGAUAUCGCUUGGAACGCCAAUGGUGAAAACAGCUCGCUGGGGGUGUGCUGACGCUGAGACACGAAAGCCAGGGGAGCGAACGGG
rnacentral:rRNA from 1 species